UCCAGCUUCAGAGAAGCUCAGCUCUGGCCAUGGUGGCCACAUGCCAGGACACCUCCGACUACUUGAGAACACACGUGUGAUGGUGUAAUUUCUGCUUUUCUGAAAGAACUCGGAGGAGACCCGAUAUCGAGGAGCUUGGGGAACAUCUCCGUCAGGACACAGUCCCUGCAGCAGCCCCACUUCUCAUCCAGCUUCCUGCU